CUGAGAGGUGGUGCAUGGCCGUCGUCAGUUCGUACUGUGAAGCAUCCUGUUAAGUCAGGCAACGAGCGAGACCCACGUCCACAGUUGCCAGCAUACCCUCCGGGGUGGAUGGGUACACUGUGGAGACCGCCGCUGCUAAAGCGGAGGAAGGAGUGGGCAACGGUAGGUCAGUAUGCCCCGAAUCUCCCGGGCUACACGCGGGCUACAAUGGUUGGUACAAUGGGCAUCUACCCCGAAAGGGGAAGGAAAUCUCUUAAAGCCAAUCGUAGUUCGGAUUGAGGGCUGCAACUCGCCCUCAUGAAGCUGGAAUCCGUAGUAAUCGCGUUUCAACAGAACGCGGUGAAUACGUCCCUGCUCCUU
rnacentral:rRNA from 1 species